rnacentral:tRNA from 1 species
GAAGGUUGUUAUAUUAUCGCUGCUAACGAUGAUAGGGAUGCUAGGCUAUCCGACUUUCU